rnacentral:rRNA from 1 species
CUGACACAGGGAGGUAGUGACAAUAAAUAACAAUGCCGGGCCUUUGUAGGUCUGGCAAUUGGAAUGAGAACAAUUUAAACCCCUUAUCGAGUAUCAAUUGGAGGGCAAGUCUGGUGCCAGCAGCCGCGGUAAUUCCAGCUCCAAUAGCGUAUAUUAAAGUUGUUGCAGUUAAAAAGCUCGUAGUUGGAUUUGUGGUGUACUUCGGCGGCCCGUCACUAUGUGAUGGAGCUUGCUGAAGUCGCCAUCCUUGGGUGGAUCCUGUGUGGCAUUAAGUUGUCGUGCAGGGGAUGCCCAUCGUUUACUGUGAAAAAAUUGAGUGUUCAAAGCAGGCUUAUGCCGUUGAAUAUAUUAGCAUGGAAUAAUAAGAUAGGACCUUGGUACUAUUUUGUUGGUUUGCGCACCAAGGUAAUGAUUAAUAGGGACAGUUGGGGGUAUUCGUAUUUCAUUGUCAGAGGUGAAAUUCUUGGAUUUUUGAAAGACGAACUACUGCGAAAGCAUUUACCAAG